rnacentral:sRNA from 1 species
AUACAAAGAAAAAGACUCAUACGGACUUCGGCUACACCAUCAAAGCUUUGAGAAGCAAGAAGAAGCUUGGUUAGUGUUUUGGAGUCGAAUAUGACUUGAUGUCAUGUGUAUGAUUCAGUAUAAGAACUUAAACCGCAACCGGAUCUUAAUAGCCUAAGUAGUGUUUCCUUGUUAGAAGAUACUAAGCCAAAGACUCAUACGGACUUCAUUUACAACAUCAAAGCUUUGAGAAGCAAGA